rnacentral:lncRNA from 1 species
GCGACACUCUCAGAAAAUGGCCGCGGGAUGGAAGUGCCGCCUCAGACCUUGGGCAGCACAGUCCGUGAGCAGAAGGAAAAGCUGAGGUUGCUGGCAGGCACUGAGCCACGUGGGCCUUGGCCGCGCUUCCCUCAGCCCAUCAAAUUCCACACCCGGGCGCGGGCGCGGGGGACUGGGGCGGCGUUGGAAGAGCAGGAACACAUGGCAGACUUGGAGCUGAAGAAGAUGGCAAACAGAGCAAACAGACAAACUCCCAACAAAAGCCUGCUCUCUUUGGCCAAAGAACCAGGAAAGGCGAGCCCAGCAAGACAGAAAGCCUGUAGACAAUCACCACUCUUCUCCAGCAGACACCACAGAGAAGGCUGAGAGGGAAGCUGCUCUUCACCACCCUCAUCCGGCUGUAAUGAGACACCCCCAAUGUCCCUGCUUGGUACGGUCAAAGGAGGUCAAGAAUGGAGGUGGGAGCUUCAUCCCCACCAGGCGUUAACAAGUCACCUUCCUUGGGGUGUAGGUGGAGACCAGAGGGGACCUGAACUUCAAGUCCAUGUGGAAAUAAUGAGGUGCCCCCCACACCCUGCAGAGUCUGUGUCAGAGAAAACCUAGUGGAAAGUCAGGACUCAGAGUCACCCAGCAGUAAUGAAACCACCACCGCCAGCCCUGCCUGCCAGGAAGUUUCAGGGGAGGCUUAGUGAGGACACCCCACCCCCACCCAGCAGUAAUGAGGAGCUCCCUCAGGGGUCAUCGGAGGUCAAGUGAGGGACCCAGAUUUCUACUCUCACCUGGAAGUAGCCAGCUGGAAUAGUGUUUUUAAAAAGCUGAAAUAGAAGCUUUCAACAAGAAUCAGGGUCUCAUACCAUAAUACCCAACAUGUCCAAUUUCAGUUUAAAAUCAAUACACCAAGAAACAUGAAAACAAUUUGAAUGGAAAAAGACAAUAAACACCAACACCAACAUAACAACGAUUGCAGAAUUAUCAGACGAAGAUUUGAAGGCAGCCAGGAUAAACAUGCUUCAAUGAGCAUUUGAUAAGCAUGCUUGAGACAAAUGAAAAAAUCAAAAGUCUCAGCAAAGAAACAGAAGAUAUAAAAAAGAACCAAAAGGAAAUUUUAGAACUGAAAAAUACAAUAACUCAAAUAAAAACUUAAUUGGUGGGUACAACAGCAGAACAGAGGGGACAGAGAAAAGAAUCAGUGAAUCUGAAGAUAAAACAAUAAAAAAUACCCAAUAUAAACAAUAGAGAGAAAAAUAGGCUGAAAAAAACAUUAAUAGAGCCUCAGGGACAUGGAGGAUUAUAACGAAACAAUCUAAAAUUCAAGUCAUCAGAGUCCUGAAAGGAGAAGAGAAAGAGGGCAGGGCUGAAAGAGUACUUGAAGAAAUAAUGCCUGAAAACUUCCCAAAUUUAGCAAAAGGCAGAAACGUACAGACUCUGGAAUCUGAGCAAACCCUAAAGGAGAAACCCAAGGAAACUCACACCAAGACACAUCCUAGAAGAACUUCUGAAAACUACAAACAAAUAAAAGGUUCCACAAGAGAGAAAUGACGCCUUACACAGUGUGGGGAAGCAAUUAAAAUGACAGUGGAUUUCUCACCAGAAACCAUGAAUGUCAUGAGGAAGUGGCACAAUAUUUUUCAAGGGCAGAAAGAAAAGCAUUAUCAACCCAGAAUUCUGUAUCUAGAAAAAUAUCCUUCUGAAGUGAAAGGGAAACCAAGACGUCCUCAGAUGAAAGAAAACUAAGAAUUUGUCAACAACAGUCCUACCCAAAAGAAUGGCUAAAGGAUAUUCUCCAAACAAAAAAGAAACGAUAAAAGAAGGAAAGUUGGAACACCAGGAACUCGUCAUUUAUAUUUUUUGCUGAGAGCACACAAGAGAGCCAAGUCUUUCCCCAAUAAACAGGCUGUCAAAAAAAAAAAAAAAAAAGAUUCCAACUGACACCUCCCCAAGAAGAAAACCCAAUGGAAAGAGUGAAAAUAUGCGGAAGUACAAUAUCUUCUCCUAUUGAGUUUUCUAAAUAAUGUUUGACAAUUGACAGAAAAAUUGCAACACCGUCUGAUGUGAUUCUAAAUAUAUGUGAAGAAAAUAUUUAAGACAAUUAUAUUAUAAAUCAGGGAGGGUUAAGUGAUAUAAAAGGAGGUGAGGUUUCUACACUUCACUCACACUGGAAUGACCAAACCAGUAGACUCUGAUAAAUUAUUGUGAGAUAAUAUAAAGUAUAUAUAUAUUGGUCUCUGCCCCUAGUUCCUGGCACAGAGCUCCUGAAACCCUUGUGAUUUCCUAAGUGAUAAGAGCACUAGAAGCAUCUUUUGUUCUAAUAUUUGGUCUUUGACCCCAGUUCCUGACACAGGGUUCCUGAAACCCUUAUAAAUUCCUAAAUGAUAAGAGCACUAGGAACAUAUUUUGUUCUAAUAAAGUGACUCUGGAUGGGGGCUGGUCACAAGAAAGACUAAGCCAUGAUUAGAAGCUUGGAAUUUUCAGCCCCACACCAUAUUUUCCAAAGAGGGGAAGGGGCUAGAAAUGGAGUUAAUCACUGAGCAUGCCUAUAUUAGAAAGCCUGCAUAAAAAGCCCAAUAAUAUGGGGUUUGGAGAGCUUCCAGGUUGGUGGACACAUUCAAACCAGGAGAGUGACGCACCCCAACUCCAUGGGUACACAAGUUCCUGCACUCAGGACCCUCCCAGACCUCAGCCUAUCUCUUCAUCUGGCUGUCCAUCUGUAUCCUUUACUAUAUCCUUAACAAGCUGGCAAACAUAAGUAAGUGUUUCCCUGAGUUCUGUGAGCUGUUGUAGCAAAUAAUCAAAUCCAAGGGGGAAGAAAUCAUGAGAACCUCCAAUUUAUAGCCAGUCAGACAGAAGUUUUAGGUAACCUGGGGACUUACUACUUGCGGUUGGCGUCUGAAGGAGGGGGGAGCAGUCUUGUGGAACUGACCGCUUAACCUAUGGAAUCUGACAUUAUUGCAAGAUAGUUAGAGUCAGAAUUGAGCUAAAUUGUAGGACACUCAGCUGGUGUCUCAGAAUUGCGUGGUGUAGGAAAAAACCCACACAUCUGGUGUCAGAAGUGUUGUGAGUUUGGCAGUAGUGUGAGAGUAAACGAGAAACACAGGAGGAAGACUGAGUUGUUUCUAACAGUUAUGUAUAUACAAUGCAAUAUCCGGAGCAACCACUAAGCUAUACAGAGAGUUACACUUAAAAAUACUAUGAGUAAAUCAAAAUUUAAUUCUAAAAAAUUGUUCAGGUAACCCAGAAGAAGGCAGGUAAAAGAAAACAGAGAAAUUUAAAACACAGAAGAAAAAACAGAAAAACAAAAGAUAAAAUGGCAGACUUAAGCCUGAAUAUAUCAAUAAUUACAUUAAAUGUAAAUGGUCUAAAUAUACCAAUAAAAUCCAGAUAUUGGCAGAGUGGAUUAAAAAAUAUGACCCAACUAUAUGUUGUUUACAAUAAACUCACUUCAAAUACAAUGAUAUAGGCAAAUUUAAAGUAAAAAGAUGGGAAAAGAUACAACAUGCAAACAGUAAUCAAAAGAAAGAAGAAGCGGCUAUAUUAACAUCAUAUAAGGAAAUUUCAGAGCAAAGAAAAUUACUAAAGGCAGAAAGGGACAUAAUGUAAUGAUAAAAGGGUUAAUCCACUGAGAAACGUAACAAUCCUAAAUGUGUGUGCACCAAACAACAAAGCUGCAAAAUAUGUGAAGCAAAAACUAGUAGAACUGAAAGGAAAAAAUAUACAAAUCCACAAUUAUACUUGGUGACUUCAACAUCCCUCUUUCAACAAUUAAUAUAAAAACUAGACAGAAAACAGCAAAGAUAUGGAACUCAACUCCACCAUCAACCAAAGGGAUCUCAUUAACAUUUAUAGAACACUUUUACCCCAAAACAGCAGAAUACACGUUCUUUUCGAGUUCCCUCAGAAGAUAUACCAAUAUAAACCAUAUCCUGGGCCAUAAAAUUUAAAGGAAUUGAAAUGAUCUAGCAUGUGUUCUCCAACCACAAUGGAAUCAAAUAGAAAUCAAUAAUAGAAAGAUAACAGGAAAAUAAACAGCACACUUCUAAAUAAUCCAUGGGUCAAAAAGGAAGUCUCAAGAGAAAUCAAACGAGACAAUGAACUGAAUGAAAAUGGAAGUGCAGCAUAUCAAAAUUUGUGGGACACAAAGCAGUGCUUUGAUAGACUUUUAUAGAACUAAAUGAUACAUUAAAUAAGAGUAUAAGUCUCAAAUCAAUAAUCUAAGCUCCCAUCUCAAUAACCUAGAAAAAGAAGAACAAAUUAAACCCAAAGCAAAUGGAAGGAAGGAAAUAACAAAGAGAAAAGCAGAAAUCAACGAAGUUGAAAACUGGAAAACAAUAGAAAAAAAUCGAUGAAACAAAAGCUAGUUCUUUGAAAAGAUCCAUAAAAUUGACAAACCUCUAAGAAGACUGACAGAGAAAAAAAGAGAAGACACAAAUUAAUAAUAUAAGAAUGAAAUAGAGGAUAUUGUUCAUAAUAUUACAAGUGUGUAUUAUGAUACAGACACCACAAGGAUAAGGGGAGGGAGGGUGGGGAGUGAGGCUGACUCCUGGAAGCAGCAUAGACCAUAGACACAGAGUGGCUUCUUGUGGCGUGCACCACCUGGUUCUCUGACCCUUCCUUGAAUUGACUGAGAUACUUCAGGGGCCUCCCUGAAUCCCACUUUUUACCCUCUGUUAGCUCAAGAUAAUGUUUUUGUCCCUUGCAAAUAAAAAAGUAUUGCCUCAAAUACCAAGACUUAGGCUCUGGCAGUUUAAAUACCAACAAUUAAAUGCUUGUCUCCUAAGAACAAAUUUAAACCAGGCUUCAGUCACCCUAAAGCCAUGGGACCACCUUCAACACAGGGAGGCAGAGGGGAUGAUUAUGACCGUAAUAACUCCUACCUGGGUAAUGUGGAGACGUUUCCUUCCUCUCUCUGUAUUGAUCUCAUUCUCUGUAAAACAAGGAAUAUAGCAAGUUAUAAGGUUCAUAUAUCUAUACCUUCCCUCUCCUUCAAGAAUCCGCUUAAAUGCCUACUGUAUACACAUCUCCGCCUACUCUCAACUCUGAUAAACUUUAUCUAAAAGACUCUUACCCUUUUUAUCUGUAUUAUAAUUAGAUGAACAUGUCUGAUAUCCCUAUUAAACUGUAAAUUCCCUAAGGACAAGUGUGGGUUUUAUCUUUAUUUGUCCGCCCAUAGUGCCUAGUAUGAUAUAGAUAAAGUGGGCAGAGAGUAUUUGUUGAAAGAAUAAAUCAAGGACAAAUUGGGACAAUUUGCUCAAGAUAUGACAAAGCCCUGUGAAAAGUAUAAACCAUAAAUUACAAAGUGCAAAUGCACUGCACCUAGGUGAGGUCUGGUUGUCUCCCCGCCCUACUGAUCGAGUGGUCUGGCUGAGAACUUUCACCUCUUCGAGUUUCUCACAAACAAGGCUCUAUGGACAAUGACCAUAGGGAAGGGGGUGUUACAUUCUGUUUGCUUUUGUUUUUAAUUUUUACCACUCCUAAUUUCAAAGAAAGGAAACGAAGGUUGGGUACAAUAAAACCCCUGCACCCUAGUCAUAUAAAGGUAAAAAUCAGAAUUCAGAAAUCAUAUAGAGGAAAUGGGGGGAGAUAAGUUAACUGGAACCGUAGGUGAAAUAGUCACUGUAAUCUGGCUCUAAAUUUAGUGCUAAACUUCCUGGUAGCCAGGGCAAAAAGCAAAACACAAUUCUGUUCUUAGUUCUCAUUGUCAGAAAAAAGAUCAUACCAGACAUCAGAAAAGACAAACCCUUUCCCAGAGCUUCCUUUUGCAGGAAUUAUGGUGUCAUUCCUUUAAAAAGACUAAUGAAUAACACUGUGGGUGACGUCCUCAACUGCCCCCUCCCCAAACAGCAAGGCUGCAGAAUAGCCUCUGAUGCAGAGAAGCCCUGCAUCUGGGGCAGGCUGGGGAAGGGCGCUGAGUAAAGAGCCAGACCCACCCAGCAUGCCAGCCCCAAGCCACCCUGUAAUCUGGC